GAGUGGAAUUGCUGUGACAUUAACACUUGCGUGUUCAGUAGCAAUUGCUGCUACCAAGAAUUUUCCAAAGAAAUUGGAUGGUUCCCAUGGCAACACACGGGGGAUGAGACUGGAGGUAGAGGACGUAUCUCCAAGAUGGCACACUCUGCUGACUGCACAGAAGAAAGGACACAGCAAGACCACAGCUGUCAAGAAGCCAAGAAGAGGGUCCUCACCAGAAACCAAUAAUGGCAGCAUUUUGAUCCUGGACUUUCAACCUCCAGAACUGUGAGAAAACAGAUUUCUAUGAUUAACCAUCCACUAUAUGAUAUUUUCUCAAAACAGCCCAAGCUACCAAUUCUAGUCACACAGUGUGCUUCUGACAUCUUUCCAAAUAAUUCUGCCCACUUAACAAUCCAAGGUGGGAAUUAGCAGUGGAAGAUACUUGCUCUUUACAGAAAGAGAGAGAGAGAGAGACAGAGAGGGAGAGAGAGAGAACAGAUAAAGAAUGAGAGAUCAGCAUAGAGACAGAAAAACAGAACAAAUCAGGAAGAAUAAACUUUAAGUUCACACUAGUUAUAAAUAUGUAUUUUUAUUUCCCACCAUGAAGGUUAUACUGUAUCAGAAUUUCAGGCAGGAAACUAAGGGCACAGACUAAGGGCAAUCUGGAUACAGACAUUACCCAGGGUCCUACAGUGAGUUCAGUGUGUGUAUCAGCCAAUGUUCACUAGACGGACAGAUUUAAUAUAUAUAGGGAUCUGCAAGGUAGGCUUACAAUGGCCACCUACAAAGUCAGGUCUGGAAGAGUGCACAAGGGCUGUCUGCACACUGGAGAGCCUAAGGACCAAGCUGAAAGUCAAAGGCCUGGUGUUCACUGCAGAGUUCCACGAGAGCUUCUGUCAGGAAGCUGAAGAGUUGUGCAGUAGAAGCUUGGAGACUGAUGUCCAAAGGUGAUGUUGAAGACUGGAGCUCCUUUAAAGAAGCAGAAGUGAUACUUCCUUCUUCUUUUCCUUUUUAUUCCAUCCAGGCUACAAGCCUAUUGGUUGGUGAC
rnacentral:lncRNA from 1 species